UACAAUCCUGCAGAACCAGCAUGUGUCAUUUAGACAAAUUUUUCUUUCCAAAAGUAAAUGAAAAUGCCCUCUAAAUAAUUUAUAUAUCAAUUUGUUUAAUUUUUGAAAACAAUAGUCAAUAGGGUCUGCUUUGUCCUAUUUAACCAUAAAUGUUACACAUUUACAAACUGAAGCAAAACUGGAUAGUAGAGAUUUAAAGGAAAUCUUUAAAAGAACUUAAAGCAAUUUUAAUUGCUUUCCAGUCCACUGUGUUUUCAAAGUUGAUUAUCAUCAAGCCAGGAUGAAAGCUGUGAACCCCAGACCAUCUGCUUCUUUAAUAAAAAGAAUGUUUAGAUUAUUAGCAAAGUAAUAUCUUUAAAUGUUAUCUUCACACAGUUGGAAUUUUAGUAUAAACUUGCAUAUCAAGUCCCUUUCCAGUAUUUAUUCUGCUUUAAAAAUAUAUACAGCUAAUGAUGUUUAAAUAAGUAUUCUGAGCCGUGUGUCCA
rnacentral:lncRNA from 1 species